rnacentral:rRNA from 1 species
CGUAGGGUGCGAGCGUUAAUCGGAAUUACUGGGCGUAAAGCGUGCGCAGGCGGUUUUGUAAGCCAGAUGUGAAAUCCCCGGGCUCAACCUGGGAAUGGCAUUUGGGACUGCAAGGCUGGAGUGUGGCAGAGGAGACUGGAAUUCCUGGUGUAGCAGUGAAAUGCGUAGAUAUCAGGAGGAAUACCGAUGGCGAAGGCAGGUCUCUGGGCUAACACUGACGCUCAUGCACGAAAGCGUGGGGAGCAAACAGGAUUAGAUACCCUGGUAGUCCACACCCUAAACGAUGUCGACUGGUUGUUGGGGGUUUGACACUCUCAGUAACGAAGCUAACGCGUGAAGUCGACCGCCUGGGGAGUACGGCCGCAAGGUUA